AAAGAAAAUAUACUCACCUAAACAUACUUUACAAAAAUUAUGAAAGCAAGGCAAGCUUCUUGGUUCGUGUAGAGUUUCCAAACACAUGCAACAUGUGAGUAGUUCGUUGAUUUCAUCAACAGGAACACUUUCUGAUGAAGCACUUGCCAUUUCAAUUAAAUGUUUCUUACUUCACAAUUUAGACAACAUAUUUCAAGUGUUUUCUUUCCAACGAAUUGAUCGCAUAAAAUCUUGCUACAAAUACAAAGUGAAUUGAAACUAUACAUGAAAG